AUACCCAUGAUGAGGAAUGUACCAAGCAGGCUUAUUAUCUUAAGUGAUGUGGAACAGGAAUGUGAGAUCGACUGUCGGGAAUGAGUUCAUGUACACACAGUAAGUAAGGUGAUUCUCUUGGAGGAGAAUAAACCUCUCACUUGAAGACCUUUUAAUCUUUUACAAAGUAAAAUUGUUGUCCUUGAUGACACUGGUGAUGGUUUCAGCUUCACUUGCUCUUUAGUCACAGUCAAAACAUCAGCCAAUUCUUCUAAAAUGAUUGAAGAGUCAAGCAAGGCAUAAGGUCUAUAGGGUUUGUGCGGCCAUGAAAUACAACACAUACGUUUUACGGUCCACUAAAAUUUUGCAGCCGAUGAUGGGUUGCUCCACUGCGUGUCUCCAGCUGCAGCCAAUCCUGAGAGAGACUCCCUCCACGGCUACGUCCCCGGAGCCCCAGCAGUACAAUCAGUGGAGGAGGCGGGGCAGGCGGCGGCAACCACAGGGCUCCUGUCCUGCUGUGUCCACCCACUGGAGGACCCAGACCCUCUGGCUGGCUCCCAGACAUGGUCCCACAACGUGGCCUCCCUCCAAUCUGCACAUAAAAGUCAGGGAGGCGGUCCAGGACCCUCACGCAACCGUUCACUGUACCCCUGGAUGGUGCCUUCUGCUGGCAGUGAAACCAGCUCCCCAGGACCCUGCUGGCAGUAUGAGGGCUUCGCCGGACCAUCUGCUCAGCCCCUCCUGCGUCUGUUGGGACAAGCAGGCCCUCUCACUGCCUGUACCAGCUGGAUCCUCAUGGCUCCCAGGGGGCUCUGUGGUGCUCCCUGCUUAACAGCUACCAGAGGACCCAGAUCCGUCGCUUACCCACCCACCCUCCCCACAGGAGGAACCCCUGGCUGGUGUUGGGUGUGGUGGUGGUGGUGGGGCAGGGUUCGAUCCCUGGCUCGGGCUCUGGCCGAUCGAACUCUGCCCUCAGUCUCUCCAGGAAGUCCCGAUAACCAUAAACUGUGUGGAACGAAAAGCCCCACGACCUGAGAAAAGUCGGUGUGCGCGCUCAACAGGUCACAUUUUUUUCAAAUUUGGUCCUGGAUUGUGGCCGACCCACGGGCCCCACCGCAGUAAAAAAUGUCAUAUUAUGCUUACAGGUCAGGCCUUUCACCCAACCAACCUAGUUAGCUGAUACAGGCCUACUGGAUAAGACAUGUGGCCAUCACCGAG
rnacentral:lncRNA from 1 species